CAGCAUCUUCUUAUCACUCUAAUAAUUUCUUUAACAUACUAAAAGUCAAAAUGUCGAAAAUAAUUUUAUUAUUAUCAAUUUUUGUAUUUGUUUGCCUUUAUGCCAAUGCAGUUGAAGGAUGUAGAGGCAAUCCGUGCGAACAUGGUAGUGAUUGCUGUCCACAUCACGUGUGUGUUAAAUUUAAGCUCCCAUAUGUUUGCUUACCUACUACAGGAUCAUUAGCCUUCACAGUAUCCGGUUAAUCAGCCACUUAACGCUGUUGAUUGAUGCGACUCUGGACCGUAUCAACAGCUGCAGCAAUAAAAAAAAAUUAAUUCAAAAAAUAACUAAAUAAAGAUGACCAUAAUAUCCGUUUUACUUUUAGAUAUAUCAUCAGAUAUACUUACCAUUGUAUCAUAAGAUGUUUUGAAAAAAAAAAAUUCUUCUGGAAACAACUAAAUUUGGUGUCACUCACGUUUACUUCUACUCCUUAUCCUGUAACACAGCGGAAACUUUCGGCUUAUAAUAAAAAUAAUCUAUAUCAUAAUUAUUAACUUUUGCAUCAACAUUUGUUUAUAUCAUUAAUAUUAUUGUUAUUAGCUUAUGUUACAAUAAAAUUUUAGAAAUUAUAGAGAGAUUAAACUUCGAUCUGUUAAUAAUAA